rnacentral:rRNA from 1 species
AGGAUGAACGCUGGCGGCGUGCCUAAUACAUGCAAGUCGAGCGGUAAGGCUCCUGCAGAUUGUUCGAUACAUACGGAAAUGGGAAGGCUCCCAAAUCUGAUCGAAUAAUGUGCUGGAGUACACGAGCGGCGGACGGCUGAGUAACACGUAGGAACGUACCCCAAACUGAGGGAUAAGCACCAGAAAUGGUGUCUAAUACCGCAUGUGCUCUUCGGAGUAAAGCUACGGCGGUUUGGGAACGGCCUGCGCAAGAUUAGCUUAGGUUGGUAGAGGUAAUAGCUCACCAAGGCGACGAUCUUUAGCUGGUCUGGAGAGGAUGACCAGCCAGACUGGGACUGACGACCGGCCAGACUCCGUACGGGAGGCAGCAGGUAGGAAUCUACCAACAAGUGGACGAC